rnacentral:rRNA from 1 species
GAUGAACGCUAGCUACAGGCUUAACACAUGCAAGUCGAGGGGCAGCACGGAGAUAGCUUGCUAUCUUGGGUGGCGACCGGCGCACGGGUGAGUAACGCGUAUCCAACCUGCCCAUUACUCGGGGAUAGCCUUGCGAAAGUAAGAUUAAUACCCGAUGUUGUUUGAUUGCCGCAUGACGGUCAAACUAAAGAUUUAUCGGUUAUGGAUGGGGAUGCGUAAGAUUAGGUAGUAGGCGGGGUAACGGCCCACCUAGCCGACGAUCUUUAGGGGUUCUGAGAGGAAGGUCCCCCACACUGGUACUGAGACACGGACCAGACUCCUACGGGAGGCAGCAGUGAGGAAUAUUGGGCAAUGGGCGCAAGCCUGACCCAGCAAUGCCGCGUGAAGGAAGACGGUUUUCGGAUUGUAAACUUCUUUUAAGAGGGACGAUAAUGACGGUACCUCUUGAAUAAGCCACGGCUAACUACGUG